rnacentral:rRNA from 1 species
UACGUAGGGUGCGAGCGUUGUCCGGAAUCAUUGGGCGUAAAGGGCUCGUAGGCGGUUUGUCGCGUCGGGAGUGAAAACACUGGGCUUAACUCAGUGCUUGCUUCCGAUACGGGCAGACUAGAGGUAUGCAGGGGAGAACGGAAUUCCUGGUGUAGCGGUGAAAUGCGCAGAUAUCAGGAGGAACACCGGUGGCGAAGGCGGUUCUCUGGGCAUUACCUGACGCUGAGGAGCGAAAGCGUGGGGAGCAAACAGG